rnacentral:piRNA from 1 species
CCCAUUGUCAAAAUGACGCGUGUCCUGGGA